rnacentral:rRNA from 1 species
UACAGAGGGGGCAAGCGUUGUUCGGAAUUACUGGGCGUAAAGGGCGCGUAGGCGGCCUUCUAAGUCGAACGUGAAAUCCCUGGGCUCAACCCAGGAACUGCGUCCGAUACUGGAAGGCUUGAAUCCGGGAGAGGGAUGUGGAAUUCCAGGUGUAGCGGUGAAAUGCGUAGAUAUCUGAAGGAACAUCAGUGGCGAAAGCGACUUCCUGGACCAAUACUGACGCUCAUGUGCGAAAGCGUGGGGAGCAAACAGG